rnacentral:lncRNA from 1 species
GGGAGCCAGGAGGCCUGGAUUCUGGUCCUGCCGCUGCCUGUGAGCACUCCAGCAAGAAGUCUCAUCUCUGUGAGGACACACAAAGACAUCCAGCCUGUGGUGUGGGGUAUCAAGGAAUGAAUCUACAAUGAAUUGCCAACUGGCUAACCAAGUCCAUUAUGGUGACACCAUUCCCUCGGUUCUAACUUCCUGACUGCCGCCAUGUGUCCGCUGCCCUCCUCUGUGGGUGCCUCCUUCAUGGAAAGAUUAUGAAACCCUGAGAGUCAGACCCACAUGCCACAGAGAUCACAUGGCUUUCAGAUCAUCGCACUGACAAACUCAAGAUGCUGAAUCUGGGUUGUUUACCAAAACUGAGUACAAGUUAUAUCCUCAGGCUCGCUUCUCAACUUCCCUCCCUCAGGAGCAGCCACACCACAAGACACUGUGUAGCUUACAGACCAUUUUCAAUAAAUUCUCCUUACGAAUCAUUUUGCCUGAUUCUUCUGGAAGCCUCAGCUGCCACAGACAGUUCUUUUAUUGUUUGGUAACC